rnacentral:rRNA from 1 species
CCCAAAAUUCAGCCUAACUCAUAAUUUAUAAAAACCAUCAACCAUAUAGAAACUAAUAAAACAUUUAUACUUUCCAGUAAAGGUGAUUGAAAAAACAUUAGAGCCAUAAAAAUACCGCAAGGGAAAAAUGAAAUAUAAUGAAAAACCUAAAGCCAAUAAUAUCAGAGAUUAAAACUCGUAC